UCUCCGUUGGUGAACCAGCGGAGGGAUCAUUACAGAGUUGAAAAACUCCAACCCCUGUGAACCUACCUUUACUGUUGCUUCGGCGGACGAUGGCCCCCCGGGCCGGAAGCCGCCGGAGGUUACAAACCCUGAAUUUUAGUGUAUCUCUGAGUACAAAAACGAAAUAAUUAAAACUUUCAACAACGGAUCUCUUGGUUCUG
rnacentral:misc_RNA from 1 species